UACGUAGGGUGCGAGCGUUAAUCGGAUUCACUGGGCGUAAAGGGUGCGCAGGCGGCCGUGUGUGUCAGGUGUGAAAGCCCGGAGCUUAACUCCGGAAUUGCGCCUGAAACUACAUGGCUAGAGCAUUGGAGAGGGUAGCGGAAUUCACGGUGUAGCAGUGAAAUGCGUAGAUAUCGUGAGGAACACCAGAGGCGAAGGCGGCUACCUGGACAAUUGCUGACGCUCAGGCACGAAAGCGUGGGGAGCAAAAGGG
rnacentral:rRNA from 1 species